UACCAGCACCCCGAGUGGUCGGGACGAUUAUUGGGCCUAAAGCAUCCGUAGCCGGUCCUACAAGUCUUCCGUUAAAUCCACCUGCUUAACAGAUGGGCUGCGGAAGAUACUAUAGGGCUAGGAGGCGGGAGAGGCAAGCGGUACUCAGUGGGUAGGGGUAAAAUCCUCUGAUCCAUUGAAGACCACCAGUGGCGAAGGCGGCUUGCCAGAACGCGCUCGACGGUGAGGGAUGAAAGCUGGGGAGGCAAA
rnacentral:rRNA from 1 species